rnacentral:rRNA from 1 species
GACGAACGCUGGCGGCGUGCUUAACACAUGCAAGUCGAACGGAAAGGCUCCUGCUUGCAGGGGUACUCGAGUGGCGAACGGGUGAGUAACACGUUGGUGAUCUGCCUUGUACUCUGGGAUAAGCUUGGGAAACUGGGUCUAAUACCGGAUAAUAACUGCCUUUAGUGUGGUGGUUGGAAAGUUUUUUCGGUGCAAGAUGAGCUCGCGGCCUAUCAGCUUGUUGGUGGGGUAAUGGCCUACCAAGGCGUCGACGGGUAGCCGGCCUGAGAGGGUGUACGGCCACAUUGGGACUGAGAUACGGCCCAGACUCCUACGGGAGGCAGCAGUGGGGAAUAUUGCACAAUGGGCGGAAGCCUGAUGCAGCGACGCCGCGUGGGGGAUGACGGCCUUCGGGUUGGAAACUCCUUUCGACAGGGACGAAGCUUUUUGUGACGGUACCUGUAGAAGAAGCACCGGCUAACUACGUG